AUGGAGAGUGAAGCAUCAAUUAGGGGAAUGUUAGUUAUAGGCUGGGAGUUUGUUAUGGAGUUUGUGAUGCAGUUAGGAGGACAUAGCCUUUGUAGCAGCAUCUUCGGUGGAGCCAUGAGCAACAAUUUUCUUCACCAUAAUGAUGAUGUCCGGCUCUGGUAUGGUUUAUGUUAUAACAACAGGUUUGGUUUCAGCAUGGUGUACAUGACAUGGAAGUCUCAACAGACGAAGAAGUGA